rnacentral:rRNA from 1 species
UACGUAGGGGCGAGCGUUAUCCGGAAUUAUUGGGUGUAAAGGGAGCGCAGGCGGGGCGACAAGUCAGCUGUGAAAACUAUGGGCUUAACUCAUAGACUGCAGUUGAAACUGUUGCUCUUGAGUGGAGUAGAGGCAAGCGGAAUUCCGAGUGUAGCGGUGAAAUGCGUAGAUAUUCGGAGGAACACCAGUGGCGAAGGCGGCUUGCUGGGCUCUAACUGACGCUGAGGCUCGAAAGUGUGGGGAGCGAACAGGAUUAGA